UACGUAGGCAGCGAGCGUUGUUCGGAAUUACUGGGCGUAAAGAGUGUGUAGGCGGUGUUCCAAGUUCGGUGUGAAAUCUCCCGGCUCAACUGGGAGGGUGCGCCGAAUACUGAAUGACUAGAGUGCGGGAGAGGAUAGUGGAAUUCCUGGUGUAGCGGUGAAAUGCGUAGAUAUCAGGAGGAACACCGGUGGUGUAGACGG
rnacentral:rRNA from 1 species